GGGUGCGAUCAUACCAGCACUAAUGCACCGGAUCCCAUCAGAACUCCGAAGUUAAACGUGCUUGGGCGAGAGUAGUACUAAGAUGGGUGACCUCUUGGGAAGUCCUCGUGUUGCAUCCC
rnacentral:rRNA from 1 species